UUAAUACUCCAUCCGUCUUGAAUUAUUUGUCUUAGAUUAUCUAGAUAUGGAUGUAUCUACAUAUUUUAAUAUUAGAUACAUUGAUAUAUCUAGAUUAAUUUAAGACAAGUAAUUUGGGACGGAGGAAAUAGUAA
rnacentral:pre_miRNA from 2 species